GCACUACCUAUACAGAAGGUGAAAUGUGCUGCUGGGAUACAUGAAGGUCAUCUUUUCAAGCUUGAAAAAUAUAUGUGGAUACAUGUAGGUCUGGAAAACUAUCAGAAAUAUAUGAUUACAUCAUUAAAGUUACAAUAUAAAUUUCUUCGUCUCUCAUCCUUCUUGGUCUUACAAGCUGUUUUGUCAAUCUUUUUUUACACUUUGGUAUGCCACUUUUUUUUUUAUUGCAGAGCAUUAAUAUCGACAUGAAACCCAAACAAUAUAGGAAAAGGUUACAUUUUCACCUAUAUCUGUAUUCAUCAUGUUGCAAAACAAUAUAUAUCCAUGAUUGGUGAAGUAAUUUCACUCAAGUAUGGGUCCUUUAGCUACCCUACACUACGAUAUUUAUUUAUUCUUCGAUUGAUCCAGUACUUUAUAGUCAUGUCCAUAUUCAUAUUAUGUCUUCAUAUAAUUUCAGUCAGUGGAAAUACCAGAAACAACAUCCUAGCUGGUUUUGGAAUUUUUCCUGCAGACUAUGAAAACACUGCUGUAGUUCUUUGAUUCUUUGAUAACUUGUACAUGUUGUUGUGAUGUAACAAAUUGCUUUUUAUAAGCUACAUGUACAAAAUGAAAGAAAGAAGGUAAGAUAUUAAAGUUAUACUCAAAUAGUUCUUCAUUUUUGGGGUCAAAGGCGACAGGGCAUCCUGCCACUUUUUAAGAUUUGAAAAGAUUUGAUUAUUUCAAUUACAUUUUUUAGAUUGAAAUUAUUUUGUAAAAUUUAUUUAAACAUUUAUGAUAAUUUGAUAAACCUUAGAAAAAUUUAAGGGUUUUGUUUUAAACUUUUUUCUAUAUCUGAUAUACAAAAAAAAUUAAAAGAUAAUCUGCAAUAAAAUGAGAAGUGUUAUUGUCUUUAGACAUUUAUAUAUAGUUCAUAUUUAAAUUGUACUUUUAAACACAUAUUGUCAUUUUUUCCUUAAAAUAAAUUUGCAUUUUGCUUCAUGUAUAACAUUAUAAUUUCAGGUUAGAAUGCAGAACUGGUGAAGAUGAAGAUUAUAAUUGUGAUCUACAUAUUGAUUAAUUUGAAGCAGAAUUUGUUCUUAAGAGUGAAAUAAACAAAAAACAGUGUGUUAUAGGAAUAUGUUCCACUAUUACCACAACAACAAAAAUAUUCAUUGUUUGACUGAGAGAUAAAUGAAUAAAAGUGUUAAUAAAGAGUACUAGACAC
rnacentral:lncRNA from 1 species